UGGGGAAUUGUUCGCAAUGGGCGCAAGCCUGACGACGCAACGCCGCGUGGAGGAUGAAGGUCUUCGGAUCGUAAACUCCUGUUGCCCGGGACGAAUGGCUUCGACCUAAUACGUCGGAGUAUGACGGUACCGGGUGAGGAAGCCCCGGCUAACUCUGUGCCAGCAGCCGCGGUAAUACAGAGGGGGCAAGCGUUGUUCGAAAUUACUGGGCGUAAAGGGUACGUAGGCGGCGAAGUGUGUCUGAUGUGAAAGCCCUUGGCUUAACCAAGGAAGUGCAUUGGAAACUACUUUGCUAGAGUGUGAGAGAGGAUAGUGGAAUUCCCAGAGUAGAGGUGAAAUUCGUAGAUACUGGGAGGAACAUCUGAGGCGAAGGCGACUAUCUGGAUCACAACUGACGCUGAGGUACGAAAGCAUGGGUAGCAAACAGGAUUAGAUACCCCAGUAGUCCCUGAGCGGGCUGGCAAGGCGCAU
rnacentral:rRNA from 1 species